ensembl:lncRNA
GGGAGCUCAGAGUGGAUGUGGCAGUCAGGGUCCUCAGCACCCCACUGUCACCACCAGCAUCACUGUUACCCUCAUCACCACUGCCACCGUCAUUUGGGUGGUUAUGCUGUGACCCCAGGUCUACACAGCUGUAGAGCGGACUCCUGGGUUGACUUGAAGCCGCACUUGAUGCCCACCCGCAUAUCACACAGGACCCCAUUCAGGCUGCCCAGGAGGGUGCCGGUGGCCAGAGGUGUUGGCCGGCGUCUGCGUCCAGCAUCCACUGCCCAUUCACCUGCACUCUGCUGGGGCCUAGCCCAUGGCAGCAUGAGGGUCUUUUCCAGUGAGUCGUCUCUUCACGUCAUUGCAUCAAAUGACCAAAGUACUGGAGCUUCAGCUUCAGCAUCUGUCCUUCGUGAAUAUUCGCGGGUGAUUUCCUUUAGGACUGACUGGUUUGAUCUUGCUGUUCAGGGGAUUCUCAAGGGUCUUCUCCAGCACCACAGUUUGAAAUCAUCAGUUCUCCUGGAGAAGAUGACAGUAAGCAUCUCAUCUCAGGAAAGUCUGGGCCAGUGGGUCUCAUCUGGGGAUGUUCCUUCCUGACCCUGCCCAGGAUACACAGCAGUAUGCUGUCCUGACUGGGGGAGGGGAGGUUGCUGUGGCCACAAUUGGGUGGAGACCAGGGAUGCUGCUCGAAACCCCACAGCGCUCAGGAUGGCCCACAGGGAGGCGUCCAGCCCAGAAUGCCAGUGGGGCCUGGUCUAGGGCUUUGAAGGGCAAUGGCCUCUCCAAAGGGGCCAUAGGUUGGGUGGUCAGGGAAGGCCUCUCUGAGGAGGGGACAUUGUAAGGGAAGGACCAGCCAUGGAAGGUGCCACCCCUUCCCACUGGUCACCCUAGUGCCCAGCAGCCUGUGGAGAGGAGAGCCAGGGGCUCAUUCGGUGGUGGGGGUGGGGAGAAGCAGGCCAGGAUCUGGUGCCAGGCCUGGGGAAUUCCAGAAGGCGGAGGGAAGCCUCUUACCACCCCUCCUCCCGGGCUCCUGGCUCCCAGUAGCCCAGGCUACAUUCCUCCCCCAGGGUGGGCAGGUAAUGGAAGCUCCGAGCGAGCAUUCCAGUGGAGAUGCUGGAGGCCUGAAGGCUGCUGGCACCCGCCUCCCGUGGGGCCCAGGUAACUUCUUGAGGCUCUGCCCCACUCGGCUUCCUGGGGCUGGGGCCAGAGGGCCUCACUGAGGACGCUUGGGGUCAGGCGUCCCAGAGAAAUGUGGACACAGGUCCAGCCAGGAGCAAGCCUGCAGGAUAGGGACUGAGCACCUUGCAGAUAAGGGCAGGAUUUACCAGCCCGGCAGCCUCCUGACUCCUGAACAAAAGGCCGGUUUGCACAGAGCCUUAGAAUCAUGGUGCUAGCAACAGACAGAGUCCACAGAACCCUUUGAUGCCCUGUCUCCUGUCUGUAAGACAGACUUUUGUGACCAUCAGACCAUGGCAUCAGCACACGGCACAGAAAGGGCUGCUCCCUAAAGCCCCACUAGGUGAGUGGUGCUGAGGGGCUGGGGCCAAAGAUGAGGCGAGAAAACAGAAUCAGUCCCAUUGGUUCGGUGGGCCCAGAGAGGUCAUGCCUCUGACCUGAGGUCACACAGCAAGCCUCAGAUGGAGCAUGGAGACCACAGGAGACCAGGCUCCAAAGGAAGGAUAACUCUCAAUUCCCACCCACUGAGGAGGCCAGGAACGGACUCCCAGGACCACCCUCUACCCCGAGAUGAAGACCAGCUCCCAGGAGACCCACCAGCACCGUGCCCGCACAAGCCUUCCAAGUCUCGAAUGUUUACAUUCCUGUAGGAAAUACCUCCCCAGAAGAGCUCAGGACGAAUGUUCUGUAAAUGUUGAAACUUGAGGCAAACAGAGGCCUGAGCUGAGCCCACCCACCACCCUACCUCUCCAUGCAGCAGAGGCCCCGCGGGGGUCCUGGAGGGGGCCUCCUGAGCUGCCGGCGGGACAGAGCCCUGGGCGGGCAGAUGGGGGUCCAACUGCGGGUUCCCCUACGCCCCCCACCCCUUCCAUGGUCUCAAGCCCUCCUUUUAUGAAGUUGGGGUGAUAGGAGAUGGGCUUGGUUGGGGGGUCACUUGCACUUGAAGCUCUGGUGGCCCUGAGGGAGCCCCAGUACUUGGAGGGUUUUGCAGUCAGGCCCUGAGGCGCAAGCCCACAGGCUGACCUGCGUGUGCUCGAGGAAGACAGGGUGAGUCAGUCAGGGUGAGUCAGUCUGCUGUUUAGGGUUGAGUGUCUUGGUUCCCCACAGGCCUAAACACAAACCUGUGCCUCUCCCAUGCUCACGGGACGCACGGGACCAGCUGGCGAGCAUGGGGGCUGUGUGGCUGUGGGUGGUCCAGCACCUGGAAGUGACUCAACCUCCGCCAUCUCUACCUUUCAACAUACACUAAGCCACGCUUCCCUGUCCACACCUGGGAGAGGCCAGUGGCCCAGGUGCGCCCCAGCUGCCAGCCCCUGGUUCCAGCAGCUUCUUCAAAGAGCCUGCCUCCCAGGCUCGGUGUGGUGGCAGGUGUGAAGGUGCCCCGACCACCUCCCUCCUGCUCACCCACUGAUGGCAUCUAGGCUGGUUCCCCCUUUCAACUGUUACAGAAAGUGCUGCCACAAACAUUCGUGGAGGGGAUUCACAUGCACCCAUCCCCAGGAGUGGAGGUAUGGUUUCACCUUUCAGGAAGCACAAGACCGUUCCACACCCGCACCAUCUGCAUCCCCACCAGCAGUGUGGGUGCCCCGACUCCCCAAAUCUUUGCCCACACUUGUUGCUGUCGGUGUUUUUACUAUGCACUGUGGCCGCUGCACGAGAGGAACAGGGGCCUGGGCGCCAAGCCCUCUCCCCUCUGACCUGCCAGUCCCUAUCCCAGGCCUCCAGGCCAACGUGAAGGCAAUGGGGCACAGGUGUCCCAGCAUCCAGCCGUGACUGCCCAGCACUUGCUCAGCACAGGACUCAGGACACUAAAUAACAAACUGAGGUGAAAAGUAAUAAAUCAAAAUACUACAUGGUUGUUGGAGGAAGAAAGGGGGCAUGUACUCUGGAGCUGGGGUCUGUAGGGUGGGCCGAGAGCUGGGUGGGAGAUUUCUGGUGGAAGGUGUGGUUUGUGCAAAGGUCCUGUGGUGCAAGGGAGCACUUAGCAUUUGUAUGGAGGCCAGUGAGGCUGGAGCGCUGCAGGCUCUGAGUGGGUGAGGGGCUGCUCAAGGACCUUGGAGGCUGGGGUGGGGGCGGGG